ncrna:unclassified sequences NiCo riboswitch
ACAGUACAAGCUGAACAGGCCGUAAAACCGGCCGGGCCUUACGGCAGCAGAUUAUCCUACAUCUGCGGGACAGGA